rnacentral:rRNA from 1 species
CGGAGGGGCGUAGCGUUGUUCGGAAUUAACUGGGCGUAAAAGACGCACGUAGGCGGAUCGGAAAGUUAGGGGGUGGAAAUCCCGGGGCGUCAACCUCGGAACUGCCUUCAAAACUACUGGUCUGGAGUUCGAGAGAGGUGAGUGGAAUUCCGAGUGUAGAGGUGAAAUUCGUAGAUAUUCGGAGGAACACCAGUGGCGAAGGCGGCUCACUGGCUCGAUACUGACGCUGAGGUGCGAAAGCGUGGGGAGCAAACAGGAUU